AUUGAACGCUGGCGGCAUGCCUUACACAUGCAAGUCGAACGGCAGCACGGGUGCUUGCACCUGGUGGCGAGUGGCGAACGGGUGAGUAAUACAUCGGAACGUACCUUAUCGUGGGGGAUAACGCAGCGAAAGCUGUGCUAAUACCGCAUACGCCCUGAGGGGGAAAGCGGGGGAGCGCAAGACUUCGCGCGAUUAGAGCGGCCGAUGCCUGAUUAGCUUGUUGGUGGGGUAAAAGCCCACCAAGGCGACGAUCAGUAGCUGGUCUGAGAGGACGACCAGCCACACUGGGACUGAGACACGGCCCAGACUCCUACGGGAGGCUGCAGUGGGGAAUUUUGGACAAUGGGGGCAACCCUGAUCCAGCAAUGCCGCGUGAGUGAAGAAGGCCUUCGGGUUGUAAAGCUCUUUUGUCAGGGAAGAAACACCGGCUCUAACACAGUCCGGGAAUGACGGUACCUGAAGAAUAAGCACCGGCUAACUACGUGCCAGCCGCCGUAACAC
rnacentral:rRNA from 1 species